UACGAAGGGUGCAAACGUUGCUCGGAAUCAUUGGGCGUAAAGCGCACGUAGGCGGCCUCAUAAGUCGGAUGUGAAAUCCCUCGGCUCAACCGAGGACGUGCAUUCGAAACUGCGAGGCUCGAGUAUGGAAGAGGGUCGCGGAAUUCCCGGUGUAGAGGUGAAAUUCGUAGAUAUCGGGAGGAACACCAGUGGCGAAGGCGGCGACCUGGGCCAAUACUGACGCUGAGGUGCGAAAGCGUGGGGAGCAAACGGG
rnacentral:rRNA from 1 species